rnacentral:rRNA from 1 species
GAUGAACGCUGGCGGCGUGCCUAAUACAUGCAAGUCGAGCGAACGGACGAGAAGCUUGCUUUUCUGAUGUUAGCGGCGGACGGGUGAGUAACACGUGGAUCACCUACCUAUAAGACUUGGAUAACUUCGGGAAACCGGAUCUAAUACCGGAUAAUAUUUUGAACCGCAUGGUUCAAAAGUGAAAGACGGUCUUGCUGUCACUUAUAGCUGGAUCCGCGCUGCAUUAGCUAGUUGGUAAGGUAACGGCUUACCAAGGCAACGAUGCAUAGCCGACCUGAGAGGGUGAUCGGCCACACUGGAACUGAGACACGGUCCAGACUCCUACGGGAGGCAGCAGUAGGGAAUCUUCCGCAAUGGGCGAAAGCCUGACGGAGCAACGCCGCGUGAGUGAUGAAGGUCUUCGGAUCGUAAAACUCUGUUAUUAGGGAAGAACAUAUGUGUAAGUAACUGUGCACAUCUUGACGGUACCUAAUCAGAAAGCCACGGCUAACUACGUG